UUCUAUUUAGUUUAUAAAAAAUUUUUGCUUGUCAGGCUAAAGAAGGUAAAUACCAGUAGAAU
rnacentral:tRNA from 2 species